UAGCAAAAUAUCAACAUUUAGAGCCCUUUUUUUUCCCCACUGUUUCGGCCAGCCAAGGGGAGAUCCAAUCCCAUUUUUUAACUUCCCUAAAAUUAUUUCCUUGGUGUUAACCCACUAUAUUGAGGUCCCUAAGUAGCGUGGAAGAGUUGUUUGGGUCAUCCAACCAUUUGUUGUACCCAUUUGCAAACCCUAGCUAUUUGGUGGAUUGAAGAGAAAAGACCUUGGGGAGCCCGAGGCGUAGAUUUGGAGUAGCUUUAGAUUGGCUAGCUUGGAAGUGCGUUCGAGGUACAGACGCACAGUUCGGUGAUCCCCCAGUUUAGGAUAUCCCCUUCAGCUGUUUGGAGUGCUCUUCUCAUUUCAGAGCAUACACUUUUGGUAUAUACUUUUGUUCGCUAUGUAUGUAUAUAUUUGUUCCGGGGUACGGAGGGGCCCUGUCCCGCCAUAUGAUUCGUUUGGUCUGUUUAGAGGUCUGUAGACUUAUUUGUGGGUGUGUGUGCCUACUUCUGUACAGUUGUGUCCAUAUGAUCUCUUUCGUUAUGGCAGCCUUGUCAGCGUGCAUUUUGUAUAUGUUUUUGGGCCGUUGUGCCAUUUGAUAGCCUUGUCGGCUUUUGAUAUAUUUGACAGCCUUGUCGGCUU